UACGGAGGUGGCAAGCGUUGCUCGGAAUCACUGGGCGUAAAGGGUGCGUAGGCGGGUCUUAAGUCAGGGGUGACGAACUCGUGAGCUCAACUCCAGAACUGCCUUUGAUACUGAGGGUCUUGAGUUCGGGAGAGGUGAGUGGAACUGCGAGUGUAGAGGUGAAAUUCGUAGAUAUUCGCAAGAACACCAGUGGCGAAGGCGGCUCACUGGCCCGAUACUGACGCUGAUGCACGAAAGCGUGGGGAGCAAACAGG
rnacentral:rRNA from 1 species